UACGUAGGGUGCGAGCGUUAAUCGGAAUUACUGGGCGUAAAGCGUGCGCAGGCGGUUUUGUAAGGCAGAUGUGAAAUCCCCGGGCUUAACCUGGGAAUGGCAUUUGGGACUGCAAGGCUCGAGUGCGGCAGAGGAGACUGGAAUUCCUGGUGUAGCAGUGAAAUGCGUAGAUAUCAGGAGGAAUACCGAUGGCGAAGGCAGGUCUCUGGGCUGACACUGACGCUCAUGCACGAAAGCGUGGGGAGCAAACAGG
rnacentral:rRNA from 1 species